CGGCAACAGCUCAAAUUUAAAAUCUGGCCUCUUCGGGGCCCGAGUUGUAAUUUGUAGAGGAUGCUUUUGGCGAGGUGCCUUCCGAGUUCCCUGGAACGGGACGCCAUAGAGGGUGAGAGCCCCGUCUGGUCGGACACCGAGCCUCUGUAAAGCUCCUUCGAC
rnacentral:rRNA from 1 species